GACGAACGCUGGCGGCGUGCUUAACACAUGCAAGUCGAACGGAAAGGCCCUGCUUUUGUGGGGUGCUCGAGUGGCGAACGGGUGAGUAACACGUGAGUAUCCUGCCCUUGACUUUGGGAUAACUUCAGGAAACUGGGGCUAAUACCGGAUAGGAGCUCCUGCUGCAUGGUGGGGGUUGGAAAGUUUCGGCGGUUGGGGAUGGACUCGCGGCUUAUCAGCUUGUUGGUGGGGUAGUGGCUUACCAAGGCUUUGACGGGUAGCCGGCCUGAGAGGGUGAACGGCCACAUUGGGACUGAGAUACGGCGCAGACGCCUACGGGAGGCAGCAGUGGGGAAUAUUGCAGAAUGGGCGGAAGCCUGAUGCAGCAACGCCGCGUGCGGGAUAACGGCCUUCGGGUUGUAAACCGCUUUCGCCGGUGACGAAGCGUGAGUGACGGUAAUGGGUAAAGAAGCACCGGCUAACUACGUG
rnacentral:rRNA from 1 species